AGUGUAGGUAUAUACAUAUAACAUAUUGAUAUAACAUGCCGUGUUGUGUAAGUUAAGGUGAAGGUGAUAUGAUGUGUGUGAUCCAUGGAAUGGGCGUGGCUUCAUAAUCAGGGUUAUCAGCCACAAUUCUUAGAAUGAGUUUUUAUGCUAGCUGAUUAUUAUAGGUACUUUUGAAACCUAUGCAUACCUAUGACCUAUCUGAGGGCUGUUCACGGGCCCUGUGUGCAGUCGGACCAUACACAAGCUCUAAGCUCCGCCCACUGCGUCCCUAAGCCAUUCUUCCGUCACUGCACACAGCAACCGCUGUGGUCGGUCGGGACUAGCCACAGGCCGUCCACCGCAUGGCAUGCAGCUGUGACAUCAGAACCGGUUACCCUUCCCCUACCCCUAAGCUUGCUGUACAUACCACACACAGUGAACUCAGCAGUUAACGGUGCCCGCGAACACCCCUCUGUAUUCAGUUGCAGGAAGGCUCCUAUGUGCAGACAAUCCAAUUUUGGAACUGUAAUCAAGGCUAUUGUCACAAGUUCCUGUGCCGUGUCGAGCAUGUGAUGAAGCGCCAGGAGUCGCCGGAGAGUAGUGACGGUUCGUCAGCCGUGGUUUGCGUGGUGCCGCCGGUGCGCCGCUCUCCCGCCGAGCCGCCCCUUCUCGUCGCCCAGUCUGGCCGCCCAGCCGAGCCUGGCGCGGCUGACGGCGCCGUAGACGGCAUCAUGUAGAACCAGCAUAGGUGAAGAAAUAAUGCGGCGGUGGCUCGUUGCAGUACUCUGCCGGCGCCAGCGAAGAACCGGCCUCUACCGCCGCUGGGCCGGUGCCGCACUCCUCUGCGCCCCAGGCAGACGACCAUAUUCGGCUGGUCGCCCACCAGCCGAAUAUGACCGCAGCCUGACUGCCCUGCCCUGCCCUGCGGUGAUGGGUGCCGACAGCGACAGGAAGCUGCCGCCGCCGCCGCCGAUGCCGGCGCCGUUCAGCCCAGCUACCACCGACUCAAGGUGGAGGACGUGCUCUCCUACCAGGACCAGGUCAAGUCCAAGUUCCAGAACAACCCACAGGUCCACAACGACUUUCUCGAUAUCAUGAAGGAGUUCAAGGCGCAAAAUACCUACACGUCUCGAUGAUGGCGCCGGGCUAGGUGACCACAGCGCGGUGUACACGCCCACUGGCGACUUCCAGACCUAUUCGGACACAGUGGUACCGACGCCGCCGCCGCAGCCCCAGCAGCAGCAGCCACCGCCACCGCCGCUGCCGACGGCGCCCAGCGCGCCGCCCAAACCGAGUCACCAGCCGCCUACCAAGGAGCAGGUAUGGCACCAACAGGCAACAACAUCCUGUCGCACGCUGUGCGGCGGCGGCCGGCGUCGGGGGCCACCACGUCACCGCGCACCACUCGUACAACCAGCCGCCGCCGUCCGCGGCGCCCACAGCCGCCGCGUCGGCCGCGCUCGUCGGCGGCGCCGGCUCCAACCUGCCCAACCAGGGUGUGGCCGGCACACAGCAGAGCCAGCCGGUCGAGUUCAACCACGUCAUCAUUUACGGCAACAAACUCAAGGGAAACAUCGCUGCUCCUCACGACCCAUGGAUGAUGAGCAGUGAAGAUUGACUACCACCGGAUCACAGUCUGCGCGCUCUGGUGGUUGGUGCCCGAAUGGGGAGAUGCGUGCAUCGGCGCGAGUGAUCACCGGGUGCCCGCUAUCGACUCCCUCACACGCUGUCAUGGCGGAGGCUGGCCUCGCCCCGGUGGUGGAACGCCGCCAAGUCCUGGCGGCGCGACUCCUGGCGAAGGCCCUCGCCCUGUCUGAGGGAGGUCCGCUCCGUGUCGUGGCGUCCAGCAACCCACCCAGCAGACUGAGGACAACGGGAUGGCGACAAGUGGGAGGAGAGGUCCUGGCGGCGAUCGGGGUCGCUCCCCCCCCCCCCCCCAUCGAGCCGCUACUCCCCCUGCGAGAGCCUCCAUGGGCCUCAACAGGUCCGAUCAACUUCCGGCUAGAUAUCGGUGCGGCGCUAACACCAGCAGCAUCAGCCCAGCAAAGACACACCACCGCGACACACCACCUGGCAUCGCUCCCGCAGUGCGCCACGUGGUGCUGGACCGACGGAUCGGCAUCCGGAGGCAUCACCGACGGAGGAGCGGGUGCUUUCAUCAAGAGGCCGGACGGCGAGGUGACAGACGCUCCGCGUCGCCGCCGGCCGCCUCUGCUCUAGCUACAGAGCGGAGAUGAUCGCACCCCAAAGAGCUGCCAACCACCUAGUCAACAACCCGGCACACUUGGAGGACGCGAUCAUCUUUUGUUGUUGUUGUAUUCCCCUCGGCCCGUCACCGGGGCGUAGUCGUUCGGCUCUGGAAGGACCGAAAGCCGGCGGCCAAGGCCGCCACCACGUCGUCCCGUCUGAAGUCGGUGGAGCGUCCGUAAAUGUUGCCCAUGGCGAGGAGGCGGGCCCCGCAGAGGCACGGGCAGCGCAGCAGGACGUGUUGCGGGGUGUCACUGUCCGCCUCAUCAUGUCGAUCAUCUUCUUGACCGACUCCAUGGCGGCACUCGCGCGGCUCCGCGAGGGACCAGCGGCGCAGUCGACAUCGCUCGGAGUCGGGAUCUGGAGAGCCCUGCGCUCCCUGGCCUCAUCGGGACGACCCAUUCACCUCCAGUGGGUCCCCUCGCAUUGCGGCCUUCCUGGAAAUGAGAGGGCAGACACCCUGGCGGGGGAGGCCUCCGCCCUGGACCAGAACUCAGACACACACCACUGGACACCAGAACGAUCCAGAGAGCAGCGGCAAGGCUGGCGCGUGCGAGGACCAUAGCGGCCUGGCCCGACGGCUGGUAUCGCCAACUGCCGGUGCGGGCUCUGUCGUGAGGAAGCAGACACCUCAGCCCACGUGCUGAUGCGGUGUCCCGCCCUGGUGCAACUGCCGGUUCCGAGUGCUCGGAACUAUACACCCGACCCACGAGGACCUGCGCAGCAUCGACGCAGUGGCGGCCCUGGGGGCCGCCUUCGUCCCCCUCCAGAGCCGGCAGGAUACGCCCUAGGGCUGGAGGGAGACAACAACAACAACAACAACAACAACAACAACAACAACAACAACAACAGACGGACAUGAACCCAUUUAAUGCGUUCAAACGCUACCGCGACAGCCGCAAGGUGCUCGAGUAUCGGACGGAGCUGUUAAUCAGCUCGUGUUGCGAAAUGCGAGGUGCCAUCGGCGUAGUGCCGGCGCAAUAUGAGCACGGUCCGUUGCCGUGCGCCAGCUGCCUCAGUCUACUGGCCAGCCCGGUGAGACGGCACCUCGCCGUCGCCGCCGGACGCUCAGGUGGGAUCUCUGAUGUGUUGAGCUCAGCUUGAAGUGUCUUCAGUCACCCAGCAGCGACUGGAGCGGUCCGAGCGAGCCCGUGUACCGCCGCCAGUGUUUGGUCGUGUUUGGGGCCGUACGGCACGGGUGAUCUGUACGGGCGCGGCCGUAUCUUAUGUUACGUAUCGUAGCUAAGCACGACUUGUCACUGUCCACCACGGGACCCGCCCAUGUUGACGGCGUCGCAAUGUACUCAUUGAUUGACUAGUGCUGCGCGACUGCUCGGAGUUGACCAGUUAACGUUUUGUAGGCUUUAUUAUCACUGGCGGAGGCGUGGGGACUGCCGAGUGUUUUCUAUUCGUCAGUGUUUGCCGAGGCGAGGCUGCUUAAUGACGAUUGUGACAUGUUACUAUGGAUCCUCACGUGAAGUCGUCGGGUUAUCUAACUUGGUUCAUCAAUAAAUGGUGUGACCUACAAA